AAAAUAGAUUGGAGGCAUCCACGUCACAUUUUUUAGGAGAACAGAGGGAGGAGGGGUGGACUUUUUUGACGCCUGCUUCUCAUUGGCUGCAGCCCCUUGCCCGAAUAUAGACGAGUGUCACGUGGCGCUUGAAAGAUGUCUGCUGACUCACAAGCAUUGGAAAAGCCCGAGCGACGGUCUCCAAAGUGCAACGUUCAUCUGUGCCUCAACAAAAACAACAGCAACUUUUCUGAAUUCCAAAAGCACACUGAAAGAUUGGUCAAAUUGAGUGUAGGCAAAGAGUUGAACUGUGGGCCUCCGUCCCUUCUUCCCUCCCUCUUUUUUGCUCCCUCGCUCUCCUCUCUCUCCAACACGCAAGAUAAUUUACAAUGAAAGUUGCCAUAUUACAAACAGAUGAACGAGGCCCACGUCUGCCACGAAGCCAAAUCCACUCCAACUCUACAUAAACCCUCAGCAAGGAAUCAAGAGAGCCACAUGUGACAUGAGCGCUCCCAAAAGGAAGGAUCCACACAGAACUCUUGUACAACAGCACCCUCUAGUGGCUGAUCUCCAUACGUGAUCCCAACAAGGAGAAGCCUCAACAAGAAUACAGUGGAAGAAUGAAAGAGUGAAGAAGGCUAGAGAAAACUUAAAUCCAGAAAUUUGUGGACUCCAGACCAAGCUCCUCCUCAGUCCCGUCGAACCCAGAGAAGACCAAGAAGGAUCCUCUACCGUGCUUCAUCAUGUUCAGCCUGUCCUGGAUGUCUGCAGAAGGAUAUCGUUGCUUUGUUCUGAACCUUGGACAUUCAAAAUUGGAUCAAAACUCAAACAUUUGCUUCUGGAUCACCUGGCUUGACCUGGAUCUCAGGGGGUAGAAGUUUUUGGAAGGUGGUGAAGAUACCGCAGUUUGAGACAACCACCGGCGCAUGGAUCUCCACCUCUUCUCUGCCUUUUUUCACUUUCACACCUGUCCCAUGACACAGUUUUCACUCUAGGAGUCUUUAGUAUCUACCUGAGCUUCAGUUUCUUACCAUAGGCUGCUCCCUUGUCAUCGACCAAGAUCUGCGAGACGGGCGCUCGCACUAGGCAGUUGCCGCCGUACUUUUGAACGGUGCGGAUGAUGUUGAAAGCGAUCUCACUGGCUCCUCCUUUAGGGUAGUAUGCCCCUCGCUUGUAGUGAUGGACCAGAAGGGAAUUUAUCAAAAUACUGGAGUCCUUGGGAGGUACACC